rnacentral:rRNA from 1 species
AUUGAACGCUGGCGGCAUGCCUUACACAUGCAAGUCGAACGGCAGCACGGGUGCUUGCACCUGGUGGCGAGUGGCGAACGGGUGAGUAAUACAUCGGAACGUACCUUAUCGUGGGGGAUAACGCAGCGAAAGCUGUGCUAAUACCGCAUACGCCCUGAGGGGGAAAGCGGGGGAUCGAAAGACCUCGCGCGAUUAGAGCGGCCGAUGCCUGAUUAGCUUGUUGGUGGGGUAAAAGCCCACCAUGGCGACGAUCAGUAGCUGGUCUGAGAGGACGGUCAGCCACACUGGGACUGAGACACGGCCCAGACUCCUACGGGAGGCAGCAGUGGGGAAUUUUGGACAAUGGGGGCAACCCUGAUCCAGCAAUGCCGCGUGAGUGAAGAAGGCCUUCGGGUUGUAAAGCUCUUUUGUCAGGGAAGAAACACCGGCUCUAACACAGUCCGGGAAUGACGGUACCUGAAGAAUAAGCACCGGCUAACUACGUGCCAGCCGCCGCGGUAA